rnacentral:rRNA from 1 species
AACGAACGCUGGCGGCGUGGAUAAGACAUGCAAGUCGAACGGGAUUUUUUUCUGUAGCAAUACAGGAAAAAGUCUAGUGGCGAACGGGUGCGUAACACGUGAGCAACCUACCGUGAAGUGGGGGAUAGCUCGCCGAAAGGCGAAUUAAUACCGCAUGUGGCCAAGGAAGACAUCUUCCUGACGCCAAAGCCGGGGUAACCUGGCGCUUCUCGAGGGGCUCGCGGCCUAUCAGCUUGUUGGUGAGGUAACGGCUCACCAAGGCUAUGACGGGUAGCUGGUCUGAGAGGACGACCAGCCACACUGGAACUGAGACACGGUCCAGACACCUACGGGUGGCAGCAGUCGAGAAUUUUUCACAAUGGGGGAAACCCUGAUGGAGCGACGCCGCGUGGAGGAUGAAGGUUUUCGGAUCGUAAACUCCUGUCAUUAGAGAACAAGGCACAUGGUUUAACUGGCUGUGUGUUGAUAGUAUCUGAAGAGGAAGGGACGGCUAACUCUGUGCCAGCAGCCGCGGUAAUACAGAGGUCUCAAGCGUUGUUCGGAUUCAUUGGGCGUAAAGGGUGCGUARGUGGCGAGGUAAGUCGGAUGUGAAAUCUCCAAGCUCAACUUGGAAACUGCAUUCGAUACUGCUUUGCUAGAGGAUUGUAGAAGGGCAUUGGAAUUCACGGUGUAGCAGUGAAAUGCGUAGAUAUCGUGAGGAAGACCAGUGGCGAAGGCGAAUGCCUGGGCAAUUCCUGACACUGAGGCACGAAGGCCAGGGGAGCAAACGGGAUUAGAUACCCCGGUAGUCCUGGCAGUAAACGGUGCACGUUUGGUGUGGGAGGAUUCGACCCCUUCCGUGCCGGAGCUAACGCGUUAAACGUGCCGCGCUGGGGAGUACCGGUCGCAAGAUUAAAACUCAAAGAAAUUGACGGGGACCCGCACAAGCGGUGGAGUAUGUGGCUUAAUUCGAUGCAACGCGAAGAACCUUACCUGGCCUUGACAUGCAUCUCUAAUCCGGUGAAAGCCGGUGAGUGUAGCAAUACACAAUUUGCACAGGUGCUGCAUGGCUGUCGUCAGCUCGUGUCGUGAGAUGUUGGGUUAAGUCCCGCAACGAGCGCAACCCCUGUGAACUGUUGCCAUGGAGACGUGAGUCUCCGGCACUCUGUUCAGACUGCCCUGUUCAACGGGGAGGAAGGUGGGGACGACGUCAAGUCAGUAUGGCCCUUACGGCCAGGGCUGCACACGUACUACAAUGCCCGACACAGAAGGAUCCGAGACCGCAAGGUGGAGGAAAUCACCAAAGUCGGGCCCAGUUCGGAUUGGAGGCUGCAACUCGCCUCCAUGAAGCCGGAAUCGCUAGUAAUGGCGCAUCAGCUACGGCGCCGUGAAUACGUUCCCGGGUCUUGUACACACCGCCCGUCACAUCAUGGGAGUCGUUUGUACCCGAAGUGCGCGCGCCAACCGCAAGGAGGCAGCGCCCUAAGGUAUGAGCGGUAACUGGGAUG